rnacentral:rRNA from 1 species
ACGAACGCUGGCGGCGUGGAUAAGAAUGCAAGUCGGACGCUGACUGCCUCUGCAGCAAUGCUGGGCGGUUGGAGUGGCGAAAGGGUGCGUAACACGUGGGUAAUUUGCCGUGAAGUUGGGGAUAACUUGCUGAAAGGCGAGCUAAUACCGGAUGUGGAAAUUGGGAGGCAUCUCUUGAUUUCUAAAGUUGGGGACCGUAAGGCCUGACGCUUCACGAUGAGCCGCGGCCUAUCAGCUAGUUGGUGGGGUAACGGCUCACCAAGGCUAAGACGGGUAGCUGGUCUGAGAGGACGACCAGCCCACACUGGGACUGAGACACGGUCCAGACACCUACGGGUGGCAGCAGUCGAGAAUUUUUCUCAAUGGGGGAAACCCUGAAGGAGCGACGCCGCGUGGGGGAUGAAGGGCUUCGGCUCGUAAACCCCUGUCAUCUGGGAACAAACCUUAGUUGUGAACAGCAGCUAGGCUGAUUGUACCAGAAGAGGAAGGACGGCUAACUCUGUGCCAGCAGCCGCGGUAAUACAGAGGUCCCGAGCGUUGUUCGGAUUCACUGGGCGUAAAGGGUGCGUAGGUGGCGAGGGAAGCUUGAUGUGAAAUCUCCGGGCUCAACCCGGAAAUGGCAUUGAAUACUCUCUUGCUGGAGGGUCGGAGGGGAGACUGGAAUUCUCGGUGUAGCAGUGAAAUGCGUAGAUAUCGAGAGGAACACCGGUGGCGAAGGCGAGUCUCUGGACGACACCUGACACUGAGGCACGAAAGCUAGGGGAGGCAAACAGGAUUAGAUACCCUGGUAGUCCUAGCCCUAAACGGUGCACGUUUGCUGUGAGAGGAAAUCGACCCCUUUCGUGGCGAAGCUAACGCGUUAAACGUGCCGCCUGGGGAGUACGGUCGCAAGAUUAAAACUCAAAAGAAAUUGACGGGGGCCUGCACAAGCGGUGGAGUAUGUGGCUUAAUUCGAUGCAACGCGAAGAACCUUACCUGGCCUUGACAUGCAAGUGGUAAAAGCCUGAAAGGGUGGUGACCCCGCAAGGGGAGCUUGCACAGGUGCUGCAUGGCUGUCGUUCAGCUCGUGUCGUGAGAUGUUGGGUUAAGUCCCGCAACGAGCGCAACCCUUGCGUCCUGUUGCCACCCGGUUCGAGAGACCGGAGCACUCUGGAACGGACUGCCUCGCUUAAACGGGGAGGAAGGUGGGGAUGACGUCAAGUCAGGAUGGCCCUUACGGCCAGGGCUGCACACGUACUACAAUGCCUGGCACAAAGGGAAGCAAUACCGUAAGGUGGAGCAAAUCUCGACAAAACCGGGCCCAGUUCAGAUUGGCCGUCUGCAACUCGACAGGCAUGAAGCCUGGAAUCGCUAGUAUGGCGCAUCAGCUACGGCGCCGUGAAUACGUUCCCAGGCCUUGUACACACCGCCCGUCACAUCAUGAAAGCCGGCUGUACCCGAAGUCGUCUGUGCCAACCGCAAGGAGGGCAGGACGCCGAAGGUAUGGCUGGUGAUUGGGAUG